rnacentral:tRNA from 1 species
GCGGUCGUGGCUCAGUGGUAGAGCACUCGCCUAGGACCUGUGAGGCCCUGGGUUCGAUCCUCAGCACCACA